UGCACUAUAAUGUUAGUAUAAGUAAAUACAAAUCUAUGAAAUUUAAACACAAGGCUUAUGACCAUAAAAGGAAGGUUGGUAUUGAUUUUGGGAGUUUUGGUCCCAACAGUUUAGGAAAAAGGGCCCAAAGGGUCCAAAAUUAAACUUUGUUUGAUUUCAUCAAAAUUGAAUAUUGGGGUUCUUUGAUAUGCCGAAUCUAACUGUAUAUGUAGAUUCUCAACUUUUGGUCCCGUUUUCAAAUUGGUCUACAUUAAGGUCCAAAG
rnacentral:lncRNA from 1 species